rnacentral:lncRNA from 1 species
CACGUCAGCUGUCGCUCAGGAUUCGAGGAAGGGAAGGACUGUUCUACACGACGGCGGUUGUCCCUGCUUUUGUAUCCACGUCCGGGGAUCUUCGGUUAAGUCCAUUUUAUUGAAGAAGCCAUCGAUCUAGAACAACCUGGUAGUAUCAGUCCCCUUCGUAAAACCACGGACUCAGGCCAUCACAUCAGUCACUGCAUGUCUUUACCCACUGAAUCCUCUCUGUGGUCCUCUGUGGUUCCUACUGUCAUGGCCCGGCUUUGCAUUUGGUACAGGUGGAGGUCCACCGCCACAUUUAGAGACAAAGCGUGUCUCAGGGUGUGACGUGACUUGCCCUCGAAGAUGGACGGUACCCUGGAACUACCAACUGAAAUAAAUCCUUCCUUCCUCCGUUGCUUUUGGUCGAGGCGUUUUAUCACAGUAACAGACAUGAAAUUGGGACACCACCUAAGUCCAGCUUGUGCAGGGGCAUGAAGGAAAGAGAACGCAGUCACGUCUGUGCCAAAGAGCCCCUCCUGGGAUCCCAAACAUGGAGCUCUUGGGAAGAACAUGAUAGAAGAACAUAGAAGAGAGAGUAAGGAAAGUGGGUCUGCCUGUGGUGUGUUGUGAAGGACGUGAGUUGAGCAGGAACUUUGGUGUUGGUGUUAGCUUUUGUGGCAUGGCUGAGCCCUGAAGACCGUGGUCAGGUAGAAGAGGCUCUUGUGGACCUCAGUGACUGCAGUCAGCAUUCAAGUUGGGUUGUAAAGUGCUAAAGCAAUUGAGCAGAUGAGAAAAAGAAAGACAGAAAAGGGCGGGCACUAGGGUAACUCAAAAGCAAACUGGGAGAUGUUCAGUGGGCAAAGUGCUUUGCAGGUGUGAGAAACGAGUUUGAAUCCCUAGCACCCACAGAAAAGCUAGGUCUGAGGCCUGGGUCUAAACCAGUGCCGGAGACAGUGGGGGUGGGCUGGUAUGGAAGAUGCUGACUGGCUCGAGUAAUUUGCUCCUGAAAUCCUUAGUCUCAAGUCUUUGCUGAUCUUCACUUCCCUGAGAGAGGCACAGCUGAGAACUUCUACUGUUCCUGUUGGUCCCUCCUGCUGAGGCCUGGCUGUCUCUGCUAGGCCCUGUCACCACUGUUGCUAACCUAACUACUGAACUGGACUGCUGGUGUAUCUGUGAAGUGUUUGCGAGGGAGUCGAGCUGCCGCUGCCUGCUAACCUGUGAACUGAACUGCUGAUAUUCAUACAGCACAGAUGGGAGUUGCUCAAAGAACUUUUCUAAAAGGUCCACUUUUUCCUGUAUCCUUUCUUUUUUACUACCUCUGUUGGGUGGUGGGCUACAAGGGAGGUUAAAGCAUUUAAGAGCCACCAUUAAGAAUAGAAUUUGAGGGGAGAGGGGAGAAAAAAAAAAGAAUAGAAUUUGAAAAAAAUUAAAAGUUCUAGCCCUGGCUUGAGCUUUUGUAACCUCAAAGCCCACUCCUGAGUGGUAUACUCCUGCCACGCUCUCCGGUCGAGUCAGCUUGACAGGCUGAGGCUUGAAAGCUACUCACGAGGCAAAAGAGUUUCACGGAAACUCGCUCCUGGAGUCUGGCGUUCUCUCUAAUCCAUACAUUAAUUUUCCAUUCCCGCGUUAGUCUAGUGUAUGGAUCCAUGUGCUCUCUUU